rnacentral:lncRNA from 1 species
UGAUUGAAAGUGGCAGUAUUGUUGUCCAACAACCUGACCAACAAAAUGUCAACACCAACCUUCCGUUGCAGCAUGAUACGGAAGAAGUAAACAUGAUAGGGUCAGGAAGCGCUGAAAUAUAUCCAAUUCGUAAGUGCAUACGAAGGAUAGAAGACUACCCCCAAAGGCACAGAGCAGAUGUCCUAAAAUGGGAAAACUCGGAAGAGGGUAUGAUAGUAAUGCAAAAGUUAGAGACAAUCCAGAACCAAG